AUUGAACGCUGGCGGAAUGCUUUACACAUGCAAGUCGAACGGUAGAGGGGGCAACCCCUCGAGAGCGGCGAACGGGUGAGUAAUAUAUCGGAACGUGCCCAGUCGUGGGGGAUAACGUAGCGAAAGUUACGUUAAUACCGCAUACGAUCUAAGGAUGAACGCGGGGGAUCGCAAGACCUCGCGCGAUUGGAGCGGCCGAUAUCAGAUUAGGAAGUUGGUGGGGUAAAGGCUCACCAAGCCAACGAUCUGUAGCUGGUCUGAGAGGACGACCAGCCACACUGGAACUGAGACACGGUCCAGACUCCUACGGGAGGCAGCAGUGGGGAAUUUUGGACAAUGGACGCAAGUCUGAUCCAGCCAUUCCGCGUGCAGGAUGAAGGCCCUCGGGUUGUAAACUGCUUUUGUACGGAACGAAAAGAUUUCUACUAAUACUAGGAGCUCAUGACGGUACUGUAAGAAUAAGCACCGGCUAACUACGUGCCAGCCGCCGCAGUAA
rnacentral:rRNA from 1 species